AACGAACGCUGGCGGCAUGCCUAACACAUGCAAGUCGAACGAGACCUUCGGGUCUAGUGGCGCACGGGUGCGUAACGCGUGGGAACCUGCCCUUAGGUUCGGAAUAACUCCCCGAAAGGGGUGCUAAUACCGGAUAAUGUCUUCGGACCAAAGAUUUAUCGCCUUUGGAUGGGCCCGCGUUGGAUUAGCUAGUUGGUAGGGUAAAAGCCUACCAAGGCGACGAUCCAUAGCUGGUCUGAGAGGAUGAUCAGCCACACUGGGACUGAGACACGGCCCAGACUCCUACGGGAGGCAGCAGUGGGGAAUAUUGGACAAUGGGCGAAAGCCUGAGCCAGCAAUGCCGCGUGAGUGAUGAAGGCAUUAGGGUUGUAAAGCUCUUUUACCCGGGAUGAUAAUGACAGUACCGGGAGAAUAAGCUCCGGCUAACUCCGUG
rnacentral:rRNA from 1 species